rnacentral:rRNA from 1 species
UGAGUAACCUGCCCUUAACUCUGGGAUAAGCCUGGGAAACUGGGUCUAAUACCGGAUAUGACUCCCCAUCGCAUGGUGGGGGGUGAAAGCUUUAUUGUGGUUUUGGAUGGACUCGCGGCCUAUCAGCUUGUUGGUGAGGUAAUGGCUUACCAAGGCGACGAUCCUUAGCUGGUCUGAGAGGAUGAUCAGCCACACGUGGGACUGAGACACGGCCCAGACCUCCGUACGGGAGCAG